GACGAACGCUGGCGGCGUGCCUAAUACAUGCAAGUAGAACGCUGAGGAGAGGAGCUUGCUCUUCUUGGAUGAGUUGCGAACGGGUGAGUAACGCGUAGGUAACCUGCCUUGUAGCGGGGGAUAACUAUUGGAAACGAUAGCUAAUACCGCAUAACAAUGGAUGACACAUGUCAUUUAUUUGAAAGGGGCAAUUGCUCCACUACAAGAUGGACCUGCGUUGUAUUAGCUAGUAGGUGAGGUAAUGGCUCACCUAGGCGACGAUACAUAGCCGACCUGAGAGGGUGAUCGGCCACACUGGGACUGAGACACGGCCCAGACUCCUACGGGAGGCAGCAGUAGGGAAUCUUCGGCAAUGGGGGCAACCCUGACCGAGCAACGCCGCGUGAGUGAAGAAGGGUUUCGGAUCGUAAAGCUCUGUUGUAAGUCAAGAACGGGUGUGAGAGUGGAAAGUUCACACUGUGACGGUAGCUUACCAGAAAGGGACGGCUAACUACGUG
rnacentral:rRNA from 1 species